rnacentral:rRNA from 1 species
GACGAACGCUGGCGGCGUGCUUAACACAUGCAAGUCGAACGGUGAAGCGCCUUCCUUUUUGGUGGGUGUGGAUGAGUGGCGAACGGGUGAGUAACACGUGAGUAACCUGCCCCCUUCUUCUGGAUAACCGCAUGAAAGUGUGGCUAAUACGGGAUAUUCUGGGUCUGUCGCAUGAUGGGUCUGGGAAAGAUAUUGUUUCGGUGGGGGAUGGGCUCGCGGCCUAUCAGCUUGUUGGUGGGGUGAUAGCCUACCAAGGCGGUGACGGGUAGCCGGCCUGAGAGGGUGGACGGUCACACUGGGACUGAGACACGGCCCAGACUCCUACGGGAGGCAGCAGUGGGGAAUAUUGCACAAUGGGCGCAAGCCUGAUGCAGCGACGCCGCGUGAGGGAUGGAGGCCUUCGGGUUGUGAACCUCUUUCGCCAGUGAAGCAGGCCUGCCUCGUUUGUGGGUGGGUUGACGGUAGCUGGAGAAGAAGCGCCGGCUAACUACGUG